rnacentral:rRNA from 1 species
GACGAACGCUGGCGGCGUGCCUAAUACAUGCAAGUAGAACGCACGGUUUAUACCGUAGCUUGCUCCACCAUAGACUGUGAGUUGCGAACGGGUGAGUAACGCGUAGGUAACCUGCCUGGUAGCGGGGGAUAACUAUUGGAAACGAUAGCUAAUACCGCAUAAUAUUAAUUAUUGCAUGAUAAUUAAUUGAAAGGUGCAAUUGCACCACUACCAGAUGGACCUGCGUUGUAUUAGCUAGUAGGUGAGGUAACGGCUCACCUAGGCGACGAUACAUAGCCGACCUGAGAGGGUGAGCGGCCACGCUGGGACGGGGACACGGCCCAGACUCCUACGAGAGGCAGCAGUAGGGAAUCUUCGGCAAUGGACGAAAGUCUGACCGUGCAACGCCGCGUGAGUGAAGAAGGUUGUCGGGUCGUAAAGCUCUGUUGUAAGAGAAGAACGGGUGGGAGAGUGGAAAGUUCACACUGUGACGGUAUCUGAACAGAAAGGGACGGCUAACUACGUG